rnacentral:siRNA from 1 species
GUAUUGGAGCACUGAUGAAGC